rnacentral:rRNA from 1 species
GAUGAACGCUGGCGGCGUGCUUAACACAUGCAAGUCGAGCGAAGCAUUUGCAGUUGAUUUCUUCGGAAUGAUUCUGUUUAUGACUGAGCGGCGACGGGUGAAGUAACGCGUGGGGAACCUGCCUCAUACAGGGGGAUAACAGUUAGAAAUGACUGCUAAUACCGCAUAAGCGCACAGUGCCGCAUGGCGCCGUGUGAAAAACUCCGGUGGUAUGAGAUGGACCCGCGUCUGAUUAGCUGGUUGGUGGGGUAACGGCCCACCAAGGCGACGAUCAGUAGCCGGACUGAGAGGUUGGCCGGCCACAUUGGGACUGAGACACGGCCCAG